rnacentral:rRNA from 1 species
AAUAUCGCACAAUGGAGGAAACUCUGAUGCAGCGACGCCGCGCGAACGACGAAGGCAUUCGGGUCGUAAAGUUCUGCCCUUGGGGACGAUAAUGACGGUACCCCAGGAGGAAGCCACGGCUAACUACGUGCCAGCAGCCGCGGUAAUUCGUAGGGGGCGAGCGUUGUCCGGAAUUAUUGGGCGUAAAGGGUUCGCAGGCGGUCUUUUAAGUCAGAUGUUAAAUGCAUAGGCUCAACCUAUGAGUGCAUUUGAAACUGGAAGACUUGAGUUAAGGAGAGGAAAGUGGAAUUCCUAGUGUAGCGGUGAAAUGCGUAGAUAUUAGGAGGAAUACCAGUGGCGAAGGCGACUUUCUGGACUUAAACUGACGCUGAGGAACGAAAGCAUGGGGAGCAAACAG